GUGAUCAUACAAGUACCAAUGCACCGGAUCCCAUCAGAACUCCGCAGUUAAGCGUGCUUGGGCGAUAGUAGUACUAGGAUAGGUGACCCAGUUGGAAGUCCUCGUGUUUCACCC